rnacentral:rRNA from 1 species
ACGCUGGCGGCGUGUCUAAUACAUGCAAGUAGAACGCUGAAGCUUGGUGCUUGCACCGAGCGGAAGAGUUGCGAACGGGUGAGUAACGCGUAGGUAACCUGCCUCUUAGCGGGGGAUAACUAUUGGAAACGAUAGCUAAUACCGCAUAAAAGUCGGCAUUGCAUGAUGUUGACUUGAAAGGUGCAACUGCAUCACUAAGAGAUGGACCUGCGUUGUAUUAGCUAGUUGGUGAGGUAACGGCUCACCAAGGCGACGAUACAUAGCCGACCUGAGAGGGUGAUCGGCCACACUGGGACUGAGACACGGCCCAGACUCCUACGGGAGGCAGCAGUAGGGAAUCUUCGGCAAUGGACGGAAGUCUGACCGAGCAACGCCGCGUGAGUGAAGAAGGUUUUCGGAUCGUAAAGCUCUGUUGUAAGAGAAGAACGAGUGUGAGAGUGGAAAGUUCACACUGUGACGGUAACUUACCAGAAAGGGACGGCUAACUACGUGCCAGCAGCCGCGGUAAUACGUAGGUCCCGAGCGUUAUCCGGAUUUAUUGGGCGUAAAGCGAGCGCAGGCGGUUAGAUAAGUCUGAAGUUAAAGGCUGUGGCUUAACCAUAGUACGCUUUGGAAACUGUUUAACUUGAGUGCAGAAGGGGAGAGUGGAAUUCCAUGUGUAGCGGUGAAAUGCGUAGAUAUAUGGAGGAACACCGGUGGCGAAAGCGGCUCUCUGGUCUGUAACUGACGCUGAGGCUCGAAAGCGUGGGGAGCAAACAGGAUUAGAUACCCUGGUAGUCCACGCCGUAAACGAUGAGUGCUAGGUGUUGGGUCCUUUCCGGGACUCAGUGCCGCAGCUAACGCAUUAAGCACUCCGCCUGGGGAGUACGACCGCAAGGUUGAAACUCAAAGGAAUUGACGGGGGCCCGCA